UGGCAGAAUCAUUAGCAUAGUAGGAAAAAUGCUGUAUUUCAUCCAUACUUCCAUUCUGAGUUCAAAUUCAACUGAGGUCAUCUUUGACCUUUCAUCCUUUCGGGGUUGGUAAAAUAAGUACCAGUUGAGUACUGGGGUCGAUGUAAUUGACUUCACCCCUCUCCUGAAAAUUGCUGGCCUUG